rnacentral:rRNA from 1 species
GACAGAGGGUGCAAACGUUGUUCGGAAUUACUGGGCGUAAAGCGCGUGUAGGCGGCCCUGUAAGUCGGGUGUGAAAUCCCACGGCUCAACCGUGGAAGUGCAUUCGAAACUACAGGGCUAGAGUUCUGGAGAGGAAGGUAGAAUGCUUGGUGUAGAGGUGAAAUUCGUAGAUAUCAAGCGGAACACCGGUGGCGAAGGCGGCCUUCUGGACAGUAACUGACGCUGAGACGCGAAAGCGUGGGGAGCAAACAGG